AAGGGAAAUGAAACAGGAAAAUAAUUUUAAAAAUAAAUAAAUCGAUUCCCACUUGCUCAUUGUAGCCCCCCUGCAAUUUUGUUCUUACUAUCCCCACUGUUCAUGUGUUUCCAAAAGGGGAACUGGUCGGAAUGAGAACUGAAAAAAUUCCAACAGCAAUUGCUUGCUGGAAGGAAAGUACAUUCAUUUGAGGCCUGUGUGCUUGGUUCAACUUGUGUAAAAACUAAGAUAGAAGGAGACAAAUAUAUGUAUGUAUGUACAUCUAUGGAAAUCUACACACAGACACACAACAAUAUAUGGGGUUUUUUAAUCCUGCAUUUGAAUGUUUAUAAAAUUAGAUACAAAGAAAUGAUUUACCAAAGGUUUAGGUGAAUC
rnacentral:lncRNA from 1 species